AUUGAACGCUGGCGGCAGGCCUAACACAUGCAAGUCGAACGAGUGGCGGACGGGUGAGUAAUAUCUGGGAAACUGCCUGAUGGAGGGGGAUAACUACCGGAAACGGUAGCUAAUACCUCAUACCAUCGGAUGUGCCCAGAUGGGAUUAGCUAGUAGGUGGGGUAACGGCUCACCUAGGCGACGAUCCCUAGCUGGUCUGAGAGGAUUACCGGCCACCCUGGAACUGAGACACGGUCCAGACUCCUACGGGAGGCAGCAGUGGGGAAUAUUGCACAAUGGGCGCAAGCCUGAUGCAGCCAUGCCGCGUGUAUGAAGAAGGCCUUCGGGUUGUAAAGUACUUUCGUCAGGGAGGCGUUACCCGCAGAAUAAGCACCGGCUAACUACGUGCCAGCAGCCGCGGUAAUUC
rnacentral:rRNA from 1 species